rnacentral:rRNA from 1 species
CCCUUAGAUGUUCUGGGCCGCACACGCGCUACACUGAAGGAGGCAGCGUGUACUCCUGGAUCGAAAGAUUUGGGUAACCCGCGAAUCUCCUUCGUGCUAGGGAUUGAGGUUUGCAAUUAUCCUUCAUGAACGAGGAAUUCCCAGUAAGUGCAAGUCAUAAGCUUGCGCUGACUACGUCCCUGCCCUUUGUCCACACCGCCCGUCGCUACUACCGAUUGAAUGAUUUAGUGAGGACUUCGGACUGGGACCGAUGCGGCUUUCGGGCUGCGUCGGUAUUCUGGAAAGAUGUCCAAACUGUAUCAUUUAGAGGAAGUAAAAGUCGUAACA